rnacentral:rRNA from 1 species
GCGCCGCGGUACUUUGGUUGGCCCCGGAUAGCCGGCUUCGGUCGGUGAGUGAGAGCCGUUCGUGACAGGGCUGGGGUGCGGCCGGAUGAUGGUCGCCCCUCUCCUAUCUCGCACCGCAUGUUUGUGGAGAACCUGGUGCUAAAUCACUUGCAGACGACCUGAUUCUGGGUCGGGGUUUCGUACGUAGCAGAGCAGCUCCCUCGCUGCGAUCU